AACCUUUGCUGUCUUGGGACGGAUCACCACUGCAAGAGGGGAAGUUGCUACUGUGAUGAAUUCUGCCAUGUGGCACCAGACUGCCACCCAGACCACAGUGUCCUCUGCAACCCUGGUCAAAGGUGCCUACAUGCUCCUUCUAGCUUUGUUUCCCUGAUGUUCCUUGCCACCUGCUACUCCUCUCUGAGCUACUUUUCCAGCUUCUCAGAUGACCAAGAUGGUGCUGCAGAUGGUGCUGAGGAUGGAGAACCCACCAAGCCCCGCUAGGAGCCACCUAGACUGGAUGCAGAGCAUGGUGAGCUCCCUGCAGGUUCUCUAAGAAGGGGUGGAUGGCAGCCUGCUCCUUGCCUUUGUGCCCUCCAGGCCCCAAAGUCAGGGAACCAAAAGAAGAAAGGGGCCGUAGCUAGGGCAGAGCUCCACUGCAAUGAUUGUUUUAGGGGUAGGAGCCAGGAUUGCCGUCUGUGGACACUGAAAUUUGAAUCUCAUAUACUUUUGUGACAAAACAUUCUUCCUCUUUUGUUCUUCUCCUACCAUCUAAAAAUGUAGAAAACAUUCUUAGCCUAUGAGUUGCACAAAAACAGGCAGUGGCCAGAUUUGGCCCAUAGACCAUAGUUUGCUGACUUCUGCCCUAAAUCAUCCUCCAUUUCUUUCCUUCUGUGUCCUUGUUACUGAC
rnacentral:misc_RNA from 1 species